AUUCUGCAGAAAACGCUGUGUGGGCCUCGAUGGCCGUGGACCAGGGCCGGCAGGCGAGAUCUUUUCAUAUGCCCUGCCGGCCCAUGCAGAGCCAGCCUUGCUGUAAGCCCUCUAAGGCUGGCGAGGAGAUGAAAGAUCUCCCUCACUGGCCCGCUGGCACUUGGUUCCAGCAGAGGGAGGGAAGGGCCUGAGAGGCUCUGUAUUCCUCCCGUGAGUAAGCUGGUUGGAGGUUUGUCGUCCGUUACCAUGGCAAUGUUUCAAUACAGUGCUGGCUCGCAGGAGGACAGGAGAGUCAGCCUGCAGCCAGAGGAAC